CCGGGGUGGAGUAAUGUCUGGGAAACUGCCUGAUGGAGGGGGGUAACUACUGGAAACGGUAGCUAAUACCGCAUAAUGUCGCAAGACCAAAGUGGGGGACCUUCGGGCCUCUUGCCAUCGGAUGUGCCCAGAUGGGAUUAGCUAGUAGGUGGGGUAACGGCUCACCUAGGCGACGAUCCCUAGCUGGUCUGAGAGGAUGACCAGCCACACUGGAACUGAGACACGGUCCAG
rnacentral:rRNA from 1 species